rnacentral:tRNA from 6 species
GCGGGAAUAACUCAGUGGUAGAGUGUCAGCUUCCCAAGCUGAAGGUCGCGAGUUCGAAUCUCGUUUCCCGCUCCA